GGUAACUUGCUGGGUUCCUUUCCCAGCAGUGUGGAAGCUUUGUUCUUUUGCUCUUUGCGCUAAAUCUUGCUGCUGCUCACUCUGGUCUUUGGGUCAGUACUGCCUUUAUGAGCUGUAAUACUUACUGCUAAGGUCUGUAGCUUCACUUCUGAGCCAGCAAGACCAUGAACCCACCAGAAGGAGGAAACUCGGAACACAUCCAAACAUCAGAAGGAACAAACUCCAGACGCACUGCCUGUAAGAACUGUAACACUCACUGCGAGGGUCUGUGGCUUCAUUCUUGAAGUCAGUGAGACCAUAGAACCCACCAAUUCCGGACACAGGGAUAGAGCAGUGACCAUCUAAGGGCUCUCAGGGCCAGGCCGGGAGCCAGGAAGAGCAGCUGCGUCGGAGCUGGGCAGCUUUUGGGGUCCGUGGGUCACUGUCAACUGGACUUUGCAUCCAGGAAGCGUUGGUUCCUUUUACAGAGUGUCACUGUGAUAGUGGGGUGUGUUCGUGUUUUACACGUUUAAAAUGGUGCUGGAUGCCUGACAGAGCCCUCAUGACUGUUUAACACAUUUUCUUGAAAUCACAAAAUUGACUAUAAAAUGUUCCUCGGAAGUUUUCCAGACUGCGGGCAUCCUGGAACACCGGCCAGUUUUCACCUGUUUCUGGACGUUGUGUCGUGGAGCCGUCUUUGUAAGGGACUCGGAUCACGCGUUUUCUUUGCUGAGUCGCCUUCCACGUGGCUUUGUCUGUUCUGUGGUUGGGGCGUCUCCUCCCUCCCACACGGGGUGUGCUGUGCCACCCUUGGAGGGCCUUCUCCCAUCGGGCCCCGCAUCUCCCGCCUGGCCUGUGGAGUGGAGUCCCCUGCCCUUGCUGCUGCUGUGGCCUCAUCUCCCAACUCAGCCUUGGCCUCCAGUGACAGGGCUGGAACCCUGGCAGCAGAGCCACCACGGCAGCGACUCAGCUGUGGCCUCCGGUGACAGGGCCGGGACCCCAGCAGGACCUCCACCAUGGUGGCAAGGCCUGGACCCCAGUGUGGGAUCACGCUUCUGCAGGAAAGCGGCGCUUCUGAUCAGAAAAACAACACAAGGAUCUCAGAGGCAGGACAGAGUGGGAUCCGAGGGACCGCGUGGUGUUUCUGGCCCCCUUCCCUCUCGAUGGCUGAUUAUUCAGAGUGUUCACACCCAGCAAAGGAGCAGGCUGCUCGUUCCCGACUGCAGCACGGCGUGCCGGGCCGCGGUGUUCUUUCUGGAUCACUGGUUUCCUCAGCAGCAGCGCUAACAGCCGCCCGGCAUGUCGGGCUCAAUGCAUCAGGUCUAAUCAGAUGUGGCAGCUGCUGAAACCCAAAUGCCUCCAUCCAACCAAAGCAUCUCAAUGCUGCCAGUGGUCUCUGGCUGAGCCGCCUCCAAUUCAAAUGCACGUGACAGGGUCCCUGGCUGCAACCCAGGUUGGAGAAUCCGGGAUUAGAAGGCUGAGGACUUCGGACAACCAAACCCAGGUCUCUGCCAGAUGGCUGGGCCUGGCUUCACCUGUGUGUGGGUGGGAAGGAGCCGUUGGCCAACUGGUCUCUAGAGAUGGAGACCCUGACCUGGGUCAAGAGUGACGGGAGAUGCCAGGAGGACCUGGCCAGGGCGCCGUCUUGGUUUUUCACCCAUUCUGUCUUCCUUCCCUGACCCAUGACUCGGGUUUCCAAUAUUUAAAAUACUCUCAUCCUGGACCCUGCAAUCUAAAGAUGAUUUUCUUGCAGAGGCUGAGUGAGCUGGCUCUGACCCACCAGAUGUACCGGGCCCUGAGCUGGACCCUGGUGUCCAGAAGUGGACACAGCCCCUGUGGGGCUCCAGCCUGUGGGGUUGGGGGGUGAUGAGGGACUCCUUCAAGAACGGAUGCAGUGCCUGGCAGGGCUGCAGGCUGCUGCCCACAGAGGGGCCUUUGCAGCUGUCCCUGAUGAAGUUGCCUGGGCACACCAGAGUGUGGGAGAGUGGACGGCGCGGCCCCUCCUGCACUUGGAGCUGCUCUCAGAUCUUGGGCUGUGACCCCUGUGGGUGACACGAAGUUCAGUGAUUGUCCUCCUUCUGGACUGAGGGACAUCCAUCCACACGCGCCCCCUCCACAGCCCGAUCCCAUCACGUCCUGCUCGUCCAACAUGGGCCUUAGAUCCUGGGGUCUCUGCUGAGUGCCUCCCCUCUGAACGCCCGGCUGGCACUUUCACGGUGAAGCCAGCUGUCAUGGACACCGACGGCAGGUGGCCUUUCUGCGUUGUCUACCGGCUGAUCUUGAAAGUGAAAACGGACAUUGUCUGCCCUGUGGUGACCGUGUUGGGUGAUGGUCCUGGGGUCAGGCCCUGCAUGCACCUUCACCCAGGGAUGGCUUCUUAGCUGACAGCGGCUCUGCCAGGAACCACGAUCACCCUCCAGUUUGCUCUUUGUGCUGAAUUUUAUUGACAUGAAAUUCGCAUGACGCCAACUUUAUCGUUUUAAAGUGAAUGGUUAAACAGAAUGCGGCACUUUCACAGGGCGGCAUGACCCCCACCUCUGUCUGCCUUCAGAACAUUUUCAUCCCCCACGAAAGGAGGAAGCGCAGUCCCCAGGAACAGUUACUCCUCAUUUCCCCUCCCCAGCUCUGGCUUCCGCAACCACGAAUCUGCUUUCUGUCUCCGUGAAUUUGCCUCUUUCGGAUAUAUUUCACGUAAAUGGAGUCCCGUGAUAGAUGAGCUGUGUCUGCCUCUUGCGGGCAGCACAGUGUCUGGAAGGUUCUCCGUGCAGCCGCAGGGGUUGGCGCUUCCUUCCUCCCGAGGCUGACCCGGCCCCGUCGUACGGGGAGUCCACUGUGUGUCUGUCUUUUGGCUGCUGUGAGCCUGGGUGUGCCGCCUGCUCCAGCCCAUGUUUUCAGCUCUUUCAGGUGUGGAGGGAGGAGUGGAAUUGUGGGAUCAUAUUGUAACUUUAACUUUGGAAGGAUCUGCCAAAUUACCCCUCUAAUUUGUUUUCAAUUUUAUUCUUAUUUCCCUGUCACUUGUUCUUUCUUUUGACUGGUUAAAAAAAAUGGCAAAGGUCUUCAGCAAAACAAGAAGUGAGUUUCAAUUGAACCGUGAAUUAAAUAUGAUACACUCAAAAUCUGACCAAUAAUACAUUUUAAUUUUCCCCACACAUUUACGUCCACGUUAAUUUCAUGGAAAUCAAGAUGCUUUUGCCUCUGUUCUAAAGUAUUUAUUUUUUUUAAGACAGGUUCUUACUCUGUUGCCCAGGCUGGAGUGCAAUGGCGCGAUCUCAGCUCACUGCAGUCUUGACCUCCCAGGCUCAAGCAAUCCUCCUGCCUCAGCCUCCUGAGUAGCUGGGACCACAGGUGUGCAUCACCAUGCCUGGCUAAUUUGUUACAUUUUUAGUAGAGACGGGGUUUCACCAUGUUGGCCAGGCUGGUCUGGAACUCCUGACCUGAAGCGAUCCUCCCACCUCAGCCUCCCACAGUGCUGGGAUUACAGGCGUGAGCCACCACGUGCAGCCUGAAAGUAUUUUUUUUUAGAGUUUCCUAAAAGUUUCAUCAUCCCUUUUGUUUUCCUAACAAGCUGUGAAACCCAGUGGGUUUUAAUUGUGAAUCAGCACCAAAACACAUGCAGAUUUAAUUUUUAAUUGAAAUGAUGGACAAUAAACAGAAUUAAUAACUCAAAUGCUUGAAGUCUGUCAAGCAUGGUGCUUUGUCUUUGCCAUGGACAUGAAAAAGCAGCAUUCCCCUCCGGACUUGAGGCUGGGGACCUUCUGAGUCAGAGCAGCCCCUCCCUCCCCACCUCCACGGCUGUUUCCACUUUGCCAUCUCCCCAGCGGGCUCUGCCCGUCCACCUGUGAGACACUCUGACUCCACGGCUUGGCUUCUGCUUGCCCCAGGCAGUGGGAUUCGGUGGCCAGGCCCUCAUUUGUUUCCCCCUCCUCCUUUCCCCAGCAGCUCCUGGCCUGGCAUGCAGCAGGUGCUCUGCUGGGCGAGUGGGAGGAGGGAGCAUAGCCACCGCUGCAGGUGGUCUGUUUGGUGCUGGGAGACGUCAUGCGUGUGUUGUCAGGCACUGGAACCCCCUGGGAGGGUGCAGGGCAGGUUUAGGACAGCCACGUGUGCCCAGAUCUAUGAGACCUUUGUGGGCUCGACUGAGUUGGGGGCUGGGCACAGAGCUUGGAGACCUCUUACUGGGAGCUGUGUGAGUGGCAGGGCCAAGGCUGUGGGGGCUGCAGGAGCUGGUGAGGAGGCAUGUGCUCGGCCGUCAUGGGACUGUCCCUGGGACUCCUGCAGCUGGGGUAGGCUCCAGGCAGGGCUCUGAGCUGCCCCCACACACCUCCAUGCAACCCCAGCUCCAUGUGCUGCUGGAAAGUCCCUGAGUACCAGGGGGGCACCUGGGGAGGGGCCUGAGUCCUGCAGACAGACCUGGGAUGGGGGUGUCAUCCACAGGUGAGGAGUGGUCCGUGCCAGGGACAGGCAGAGCCGCCAGCAUGGGCCCUGCUGGGAUCUCCGAUUGGGAAAACCAUCCCGCCACGGGAGGUGGCCAAGGUGCGUCCCCCAGCCUAUGCAUUGGGGUCCUGGUUCCAUCCCCGCCUCUCCUGUGGGCCGCACUCAGUGCCUUUUCCAUGUAACCCGUGCCGUGUGCGGUGCUCAGAGGAGGAGCGAUCGUCAUGGGGAGCUGCAGUGCCUUUUCCAUGUAACCCGCGCCGUGUGCGGGGCUCCGAGGAGGAGAGGACGUCACGGGGAGCUGCGGUGCCUUUUCCAUGUAACCCGCGCCGUGUGCGGGGCUCGGAGGAGGAGCGGUCAUCACGGGGAGCUGCAGCGCGUCUGGUGAUGUGGGGCUCACAGGCUCCUAAUGAGGCUCUCAGUCUUGUUUAUUGCGUUCUUGCUGGAAGAUUUUUUUUCUGAAACGUAGGCACAGAAUGAACUUGAAAUAUUGAGCUCUGCUUGAAAUAAAAAUGUCUUGAUAAUUAGAACCUUUGCCUGAACAGAUUCCUGUGGGGCUGCGCUGUGCAGGCUGGUUACGGGUGGGGCUCUGCUGCCCACCGAGUCAUUGCUCAAAGGCAAACGGGUCAAGCCACCGAG
rnacentral:lncRNA from 1 species